rnacentral:lncRNA from 1 species
GACCCGGAAGUAAUUUUCAAACUCUCUCUACAGGUCGUCAUUCACGCUGCCGUAGCCUUCGACAUGGCUGCUGUAAGUUUUUUUUUUCAAAUUGACCAACCAUGGUGCGCUCCUCCUUCUUCACCAAUGGAGAUACUUGCAAGCACUAACCAUUGAUCAACGCUGACGUCAAAAUCUCCUCAUCCGCCUUGCCCCGAGCUUGACCAUGCCUGAGGUACUGGACAUUACGUGCCUCCUUGCUUUGCCUCGAACUUUAAUGGCACCUGCUCUGCCUAGUAUCAGAAGGGCUGCACGAUCGAGAUCUUCAGCAGCUUCGAGCCCUUGUUUUCUUCAUCCCUGAUAUGUAUUGCUAGCUGCCUUCGUCUUCUUACUACUCGUUGUCAGAUCGCUGCGGCUGCUGCCCGUCGUUGUUUCGAGGCUUCCACUGGCUGCAGCAACUGCACCUCCCUCGUCAACUCCUCCCCCGAUCGCAGCAGCAAGCUCGACCUCGUGCCCUCCAUGGCUGAAGCACCGGUGCUCCGAAGCCCUCUCCAACUCCCCAUCCUCUCCUCCUUGCUCCGCCAUGGCUGCGGCCUUUGAAUGAGAUUGACAAAACCAAAGUUUGACAAUCCACACCCAAAGACCUCCUCCGUCUCUUGCCUCGCAGCUGCCAACAACUUCAAAGACCGCUGUCAAACGACUAGCCGG